UAGCGGAUGACCUGUGGCUGGGGGUGAAAGGCCAAUCAAACCGGGAGAUAGCUGGUUCUCCCCGAAAGCUAUUUAGGUAGCGCCUCGUGAACUCAUCUCCGGGGGUAGAGCACUGUUUCGGCUAGGGGGCCAUCCCGGCUUACCAACCCGAUGCAAACUGCGAAUACCGGAGAAUGUUAUCACGGGAGACACACGGCGGGUGCUAACGUCCGUCGUGAAGAGGGAAACAACCCAGACCGCCAGCUAAGGUCCCAAAGUCAUGGUUAAGUGGGAAACGAUGUGGGAAGGCCCAGACAGCCAGGAUGUUGGCUUAGAAGCAGCCAUCAUUUAAAGAAAGCGUAAUAGCUCACUGGUCGAGUCGGCCUGCGCGGAAGAUGUAACGGGGCUAAACCAU
rnacentral:rRNA from 1 species